UACUGUUUUUGAUUUUUGUUUUUUGAAAAAAUAAAUUAUCAAAAAAGAGAGAGUCAAAAGUUCAAAUCCCUGCUGAAAUGACUUCGAAGCAACCCGUUGGCCCCUCUGGGAUGUGUUAUACACGCAUGCAUGUGGGCAGAGGGUGGUGAAGGCUGAGAGACAGCCGUCUACCAAAGGCUAGCUGCGACGUUCCUGAGCUGAGAUAGGAACCAGUGGAAGCGAUGGCAAUCCAGGACCUGCUGGGGUGGAGGGGAGACCAAACUGCUCCGUUGCAUGGAAAAUCCACCAAAUCUCAACUAUCUUCAUCAACCCUUUGUGACCUGCAUUAAGAUGAUACUGGUAUUUUAUGGAGCCCUUCUAGAGCUGGAAAAAGGUUUUGCUUUUUAAUAAAUGUGCAAUCAU